AUUGAACGCUGGCGGCAUGCCUUACACAUGCAAGUCGAACGGUAACAGGUCUUCGGAUGCUGACGAGUGGCGAACGGGUGAGUAAUACAUCGGAACGUGCCCGAGAGUGGGGGAUAACGAGGCGAAAGCUUUGCUAAUACCGCAUACGAUCUCAGGAUGAAAGCAGGGGACCGCAACGCCUUCCGCUCACGGAGCGGCCGAUGGCAGAUUAGGUAGUUGGUGGGAUAAAAGCUUACCAAGCCGACGAUCUGUAGCUGGUCUGAGAGGACGACCAGCCACACUGGGACUGAGACACGGCCCAGACUCCUACGGGAGGCAGCAGUGGGGAAUUUUGGACAAUGGGCGCAAGCCUGAUCCAGCCAUGCCGCGUGCAGGAUGAAGGCCUUCGGGUUGUAAACUGCUUUUGUACGGAACGAAAAGACUCUGGUUAAUACCUGGGGUCCAUGACGGUACCGUAAGAAUAAGCACCGGCUAACUACGUGCCAGCAGCCGCCGUAAUAC
rnacentral:rRNA from 1 species